CCGUUUAAAUAAUUAGUGUUUAAAUUUUGAACAUGAUAUUUUUACCGACAUUUUUAGACGCCUCUAAUCUUUAAAAUAUUUGUUUUUCCUGAAUUUAGAAAUGGGAAGAAACAAACAGAAUAAAACGGAGAAUCCAUCCAUUUCAUAGACAAACUGAUCACUCAACGCAGGAAGGAUCCGGUUACAGAGUCACAUCUGCUCCAGAGGUUCCUCAGCUGGAAGCGAGGCGCUGAUUUGUUUAGUUUUAAUGUAGAUUAUUGAAAUGAAAGGGAAUGAAUGCAGUCUCCACUCCGCCCCGGUAAAAUUAAUCUGCUGUAAUUAUUCUGCAGCGUCGGCGCCGUUAAAACAGCAACCAGGUUCUGCAUUUUACCGCCCGGGAUCCUCAAGGUGCCACUGGUGUAAUUUAUCAAAACAUCUGUAAAGGGAGGCGCCUGUUUGAACCAGCCGAGCGCCGCUCUGGGUCCCGGUCGGUGGGGGGAAUCACGGCGCUCCUCCCAGACUCUGUAAUGGCCUUUGCUGAUGACAGUCUGCUCAUCUCUGGGAGAUAAUGGACCAUGAACUGUGCUGAGUGGAAGCCAGCGCUGGAAGGAAGGACCGGGUUCUGUCAGCACAGUAAUGAAACCGCUGAUUAAAUGAGUCAUGAAAAAUAAUUCUGCUAAUGAUU